AGAAAAAUAAAACAUCGGCAAUAAUCGGCGUGACGAUAGCCUGCACGCUAACAUAAAAGUACCCAUUAAAUGGGUUUCUAGUACCCAUUUUUAUGGUCAGUAUGGAGUUGUCAGAAAAAGAGUACUUUUCAGUGACAUAAAAAAGGGUACUUUAACCUCAUUAUGAAGUAUUCUUCCAGCUAAUAUAAAUGGGUACAUAGUACACAUGAUGUAGUUUGCAAGGCAAUAGCGCCAUUUUCAAUUUCAGUUGUUUUUCAGCUCGGUGUUAAUGAAAAAAAGUCAGGGUUUAUUUCAUUGUUCGACAAAUAAAUAAUUAUGGAGGAGCAGAUUGCACACACUCUUUGCGACACAUUUUUGGAUGACUGCAGCUGAGUUCAAUGCCAACUGCAGCGAUUUCCGUAGUACCUGGGUCGUCUACUAAAUGAUCAUAUACAUGUUGAAUUAUUGUUUUCUUAAAUUAUGAAAUAAAUGUACGAUGUAUUUUAUUAAUUCCGUUA
rnacentral:lncRNA from 1 species